CAGGCUUAACACAUGCAAGUCGAGGGGCAGCAUUUCAGUUUGCUUGCAAACUGGAGAUGGCGACCGGCGCACGGGUGAGUAACACGUAUCCAACCUGCCGAUAACUCGGGGAUAGCCUUUCGAAAGAAAGAUUAAUACCCGAUGGUAUAAUCAGACCGCAUGGUCUUGUUAUUAAAGAAUUUCGGUUAUCGAUGGGGAUGCGUUCCAUUAGGCAGUUGGUGAGGUAACGGCUCACCAAACCUUCGAUGGAUAGGGGUUCUGAGAGGAAGGUCCCCCACAUUGGAACUGAGACACGGUCCAAACUCCUACGGGAGGCAGCAGUAAGGAAUAUUGGUCAAUGGGCGCAGGCCUGAACCAGCCAAGUAGCGUGAAGGAUGACUGCCCUAUGGGUUGUAAACUUCUUUUAUAUGGGAAUAAAGUUUUCCACGUGUGGAAUUUUGUAUGUACCAUAUGAAUAAGGAUCGGCUAACUCCGUGCCAGCAGCCGCGGUAAUACGGAGGAUCCGAGCGUUAUCCGGAUUUAUUGGGUUUAAAGGGAGCGUAGGUGGACAGUUAAGUCAGUUGUGAAAGUUUGCGGCUCAACCGUAAAAUUGCAGUUGAUACUGGCUGUCUUGAGUACAGUAGAGGUGGGCGGAAUUCGUGGUGUAGCGGUGAAAUGCUUAGAUAUCACGAAGAACUCCGAUUGCGAAGGUAGCUCACUGGACUGCAACUGACACUGAUGCUCGAAAGUGUGGGUAUCAAACAGGAUUAGAUACCCUGGUAGUCCACACAGUAAACGAUGAAUACUCGCUGUUUGCGAUAUACAGUAAGCGGCCAAGCGAAAGCAUUAAGUAUUCCACCUGGGGAGUACGCCGGCAACGGUGAAACUCAAAGGAAUUGACGGGGGCCCGCACAAGCGGAGGAACAUGUGGUUUAAUUCGAUGAUACGCGAGGAACCUUACCCGGGCUUAAAUUGCAUUUGAAUAUAUUGGAAACAGUAUAGCCGUAAGGCAAAUGUGAAGGUGCUGCAUGGUUGUCGUCAGCUCGUGCCGUGAGGUGUCGGCUUAAGUGCCAUAACGAGCGCAACCCUUAUCUUUAGUUACUAACAGGUCAUGCUGAGGACUCUAGAGAGACUGCCGUCGUAAGAUGUGAGGAAGGUGGGGAUGACGUCAAAUCAGCACGGCCCUUACGUCCGGGGCUACACACGUGUUACAAUGGGGGUACAGAAGGCAGCUACCUGGUGACAGGAUGCUAAUCCCAAAAGCCUCUCUCAGUUCGGAUCGAAGUCUGCAACCCGACUUCGUGAAGCUGGAUUCGCUAGUAAUCGCGCAUCAGCCAUGGCGCGGUGAAUACGUUCCCGGGCCUUGUACACACCGCCCGUCAAGCCAUGAAAGCCGGGGGUACCUGAAGUACGUAACCGCAAGGAGCGUCCUAGGGUAAACUGGUAAUUGGGGC
rnacentral:rRNA from 1 species